GACGAACGCUGGCGGCGUGCUUAACACAUGCAAGUCGAACGGAAAGGCCCUGCUUUUGUGGGGUGCUCGAGUGGCGCACGGGUGAGUAACACGUGAGUAACCUGCCCUUGACUUUGGGAUAACUUCAGGAAACUGGGGCUAAUACCGGAUAGGAGCUCCUGCUGCAUGGUGGGGGUUGGAAAGUUUCGGCGGUUGUGGAUGGACUCGCGGCUUAUCAGCUUGUUGGUGGGGUAGUGGCUUACCAAGGCUUCGACGGGUAGCCGGCCUGAGAGGGUGACCGGCCACAUGGGGACUGAGAGACGGCCCAGACUCCUACGGGAGGCAGCAGUGGGGAAUAUUGCACAAUGGGCGGAAGUCUGAGGCAGCAACGCCGCGUGCGGGAUAACGGCCUUCGGGGGGUAAACCGCUUUCGCCGGUGACGAAGCGUGAGUGACGGUAAUGGGUAAAGAAGCACCGGCUAACUACGUG
rnacentral:rRNA from 1 species